rnacentral:pre_miRNA from 13 species
CAGCCCGGUUCAAGUAAUCCAGGAUAGGCUGUUACCAGGCAGCACGGCCUAUUCUUGAUUACUUGUUUCAGGAGG